AUUGAACGCUGGCGGCAGGCCUAACACAUGCAAGUCGAGCGGAUGAAGGGAGCUUGCUCCUGGAUUCAGCGGCGGACGGGUGAGUAAUGCCUAGGAAUCUGCCUGGUAGUGGGGGAUAACGUCCGGAAACGGGCGCUAAUACCGCAUCCGUCCUGAGGGAGAAAGUGGGGGAUCUUCGGACCUCACGCUAUCAGAUGAGCCUAGGUCGGAUUAGCUAGUUGGUGGGGUAAAGGCCUACCAAGGCGACGAUCCGUAACUGGUCUGAGAGGAUGAUCAGUCACACUGGAACUGAGACACGGUCCAGACUCCUACGGGAGGCAGCAGUGGGGAAUAUUGGGCGAUGGGGGAGAGCCUGAUCCAGCCAUGCCGCGUGUGUGAAGAAGGUCUUCGGAUUGUAAAGCACUUUAAGUUGGGAGGAAGGACAGUAAGUUAAUACCUUGCUGUUUUGACGUUACCGGCAGAAUAAGCUCCGGCUAACUUCGUG
rnacentral:rRNA from 1 species